UAUAGGGAAUAUUGCACAAUGGAGGAAACUCUGAUGCAGCGACGCCGCGUGAGUGAUGAAGGCCUUCGGGUCGUAAAGCUCUGUCGCAGGGGAAUAACACAAUGAAUGUACCCUGUAAGAAAGGAUCGGCUAACUUCGUG
rnacentral:rRNA from 1 species